UACGAAGGGGGCUAGCGUUGCUCGGAAUCACUGGGCGUAAAGGGUGCGUAGGCGGGUCUUAAGUCAGGGGUGAAAUCCUGGAGCUCAACUCCAGAACUGCCUUCGAUACUGGCGAUCUUGAGUCCGGAAGAGGUGAGUGGAACUCCUAGUGUAGAGGUGGAAUUCGUAGAUAUUAGGAAGAACACCAGUGGCGAAGGCGGCUCACUGGUCCGGUACUGACGCUGAGGUGGCGAAAGCGUGGGGAGCAAACAGG
rnacentral:rRNA from 1 species